UCAAAAUUAUUUUUUAUGCGCUACAAUAGCACUGGUAAGCAACUGAUAUAAUUUGAUGCUUUUAUUUCUGUACAAGAGUGGUUUACUAAUUAUUUAUUCCAUGUUUUUAACACAAAUUUAUGUAUCAGUAAAAUAACAAAUUGAGCACAGGUCUGAAGAGUUCUAGGUUAUUCUCCUGACUUCUACUCCAUCCUUUCUUUCUCAUCUAAUUAGACUUGGAGAAGCAGACAAUAGAGAAAAGGUGGAAUGCCAGCUGGAAAGAACUGCUAAUGGCCUCUUGCCGUGGGAGCUGUCCUUUGUUAAGCUGUCUCCUGGGAUGGGCACUGAUUAGUGAAAGUCCUUGUGAACUGAGCCUGGUCUAUUCUUGAGAUGCAUCUAAAUCAAGAUAUGUGAACUUAAAUCAGAACCUGAGGGUCUCCAGAACAGAGAGUUGGGAAUUCGCUUCAUCAGUCCUUUUAAACUAACUCUAGGCUAUGGUUAUUAUCCACAGCUAAGAAUCCUGAGUUGAUUAUGAGGAAAAUACAACAAUCAAAAUCCUACUUAAUUUAAUAUACCUGAAGUUAGAUCAAGUUCCUUUGAUACCUCUCAGCAGAAGACCAGAGCACUUUCCAAUGUUGCACUUUGACUGCCUGGUGCUGGUGUCUCUGCAAAAGUAAAGCAAGAAAUCUCACCUAGAUGAAGGUCAAGUUAAUGUUCUCCUGGGAACAUGGCUGAGUCCCAAACAGAAGGCACUGUGCUGAUUCUACAGUGAGAGUUAUUGCUCCUGAAAUGUCGUGGAUGGUGAAGACGAGGCAGGGAAAUACACUUGCAUUUGAACUUCAGACAACAGCUCACAUUUUGCAAGGGAAGUUUUUAGAACAUGUUUUGUAUUUAUUCUAUUCUCUGUGGAAAAUACUGUAAGGAAAAAAUGUAACUUAUCUCCCUAGGUGAUUUCAGGUCUUAAUUCUGAUCUUUUUUCUUUAUUUUUCUUAAAGUCUGGAAGGAUUAACUUUAAGGGUUUAAUUUUUGUCUAAAGUCUUUCAAAUCAACUUGUAAGUCUGUGAAAUAACAACCACUGUUUUUUUUUUAAUUUUCUUUCCACUUUGUAAAAGCACGUUUUUUCUUACAUUCUUCUCUUUAGUAUAUACACCAUUAAUGUAGUCAAAUCAUCUCACUGGCUUUAAAGACUCCCUCACUGUCUUUACUAAACUUUAAGCAUCCCAGGUCCCAGCUGAAAAGAGUAUCCUCCAUUUGUUUUGUGUCUUUCUUUGUCCUAUUUCUGUCCUCUGUUUUCUCCCCAGAAAGCUCCAGGCUUGAUUCAAUUACCAUUUUCAGAACUGCUAGAAUUGAUGAAAUAUGAUAAUAAAAAUAGUAGAUUGCCAAUGCA